AUACAGAGGGUGCGAGCGUUAAUCGGAAUUACUGGGCGUAAAGCGCGCGUAGGCGGUCUAUUAAGUCAGAUGUGAAAUCCCAGGGCUCAACCUUGGAACUGCAUCUGAUACUGGUAGACUAGAGUUUUGGAGAGGGAAGUAGAAUUUCAGGUGUAGCGGUGAAAUGCAUAGAGAUCUGAAGGAAUACCAGUGGCGAAGGCGACUUCCUGGCCAAAAACUGACGCUGAGGUGCAAAAGCGUGGGUAGCAAACGGGAUUAGAAACCCUAGUAGUCC
rnacentral:rRNA from 1 species